rnacentral:lncRNA from 1 species
GAGAAUUGGGCAAGGAGAGACCCAUAAAAUACCUAAGACGAAAGUUACUAGGAUAGCCAAGGGCUUGUCUUCCGGGUGGCGCCGAGGCCAGGAAACUGUCCUCUCUAACCUAUUUCCCCAGAGGAGUCUAAAUUGGUCGUUCAACUACCAGCAAGGGCUAAAGAGAGGCUGGAGCCCCCAGGACAGCCAGAACGCUGACACUGCAAAGGGCCUCUGUCCUUACUGGGGAAGCCCAGUCCUGCUCAGCUGUCUUCUUCAGCAACAAACAGAAGUCCAGAAAGAGAAACAGUUGUGGAGGAAGCUGUUGUGAUGAUAAUUUACUGAGCACCUACUAUGUGCCAGGCACGCCAGCCUUACCAGACAAGAUCCUUGGGCUCAUGGAAUUCACUUUCUCGUGGGACAGACAAACAAUAACACGUAGAAACAUAUCAGCUGUUGGCAGUAACCGAGGGACCGUGGCCAGGCGCUGAAGUGAAUUCGGGUCCAAGGAGCCUGCUGGGACCCAGGAAAACGAGAGAAGGAACAGAAAUUGUGGUGGAGGCAAAUUCAAGGUCAGAAGAUUGGGGAGGAGGUGCUUAGAGAGGUCUGGAGAGAUGCUGGGACCCAGAACUGGGGCCUCCGUGAGAUCAGCAGGCUGCAGCUAAACUGUGGUAUCCGGACCAUGCGGCUGAUGCCCUGGGAGGGAGGCCACUUGCUUAAGUCCUCCAGGAGGGCGAUGGAGGAGCCGGCAUUCAAACCAGGCUCAUGGAUGCCAAGGUAUA